rnacentral:rRNA from 1 species
UAGGGAAUAUUGGACAAUGGGGGCAACCCUGAUCCAGCCAUGCCGCGUGAGUGAAGAAGGCCCUCGGGUUGUAAAGCUCUUUUGUCCGGAAAGAAAAGCUUCGGGUUAAUACCCCGGGGUUCUGACGGUACCGGAAGAAUAAGCACCGGCUAACUUCGUGCCAGCAGCCGCGGUAAUACGAAGGGUGCAAGCGUUACUCGGAAUUACUGGGCGUAAAGCGUGCGUAGGUGGUUGUUUAAGUCUGAUGUGAAAGCCCUGGGCUCAACCUGGGAAUGGCAUUGGAAACUGGGCAGCUAGAGUGCGGUAGAGGGUAGUGGAAUUCCCGGUGUAGCAGUGAAGUGCGUAGAGAUCGGGAGGAACAUCUGUGGCGAAGGCGACUGCCUGGACCAGCACUGACGCUCAUGCACGAAAGCGUGGGGAGCAAACA